rnacentral:rRNA from 1 species
UACAGAGGUCCCGAGCGUUGUUCGGAUUUACUGGGCGUAAAGGGCGCGUAGGCGGCCACCGCAAGUCAGUUGUGAAAUCUCUGGGCUUAACCCAGAAAGGUCAACUGAUACUGCGGGGCUAGAGUGCAGAAGGGGCAACUGGAAUUCUCGGUGGUAGCGGUGAAAUGCGUAGAUAUCGAGAGGAACACCUGCGGCGAAGGCGGGUUGCUGGGCUGACACUGACGCUGAAGCGCGAAAGCUAGGGGAGCGAACGGG